GGUUCUGUGUCAGAAGAAAUGACGAAGUAGGGAGGUGAUUCUGGUAAGUUGGGCUAGAGUGGGAGAAGCGGGGUCAGAGGGUUCUGUGUCAGAAGAAAUGACGAAGUAGGGAGGUGAUUCUGGGGCUGAGGAUGAGGAAGUAGUUUGAUUCAUUUCUUCAGCUUCAGAUAUGAGUAAGGAGGUAUUGGCAAGGUUGAAUUUGGGUAGUGGUUGAGAUGGUCUGGUUGUUGAAGGAGGGGUUUCAGAUGUGGUGUAGAUGGGUGUUGGUAGAGGAGUAGAAGAAGCAAG
rnacentral:lncRNA from 1 species